GCGGAGCUGCGGGGUGCGUGCUGGAUCAGUAACCCGGGGCCUUAUCGAUCUCAAAGGGAGCUGUCCCUGGCCUUGCCCGUGGGCUUGGCCACAUGGCGCCCACCUACGUUGUAGGUUCCCGGGAUCGAUAUCCCACGGCCAUCGCGGCCCCGCA
rnacentral:other from 1 species